rnacentral:sRNA from 1 species
CGUGAAAUUCAAAAUCCCAAUCUUCACCGAGAUUCGAACUUGGGACAAGCGCUUUACCUUACCCCUCAGUCACCACGCCUCUAACUUUGAUCUUAUAGGGCCUAGAGAAAGUGUAUCAACUUUAGGUCACGUGUCUCCAUCUUUGAUCUUAUAGGGCUUAGAGAAAGUGUAUCAACUUUAGGUCACGUGUCUCCAUCUUUGAUCUUAUAUGGCUUAGAGAAAGUGUAUCAACUUUAGGUCACGUGUCUCCAUCUUUGAUCUUAUAGGGCUUAGAGAAAGUGUAUCAACUUUAGGUCACGUGUCUCCAUCUUUGAUCUUAUAUGGCUUAGAGAAAGUGUAUCAACUUUAGGUCACGUGUCUCCAUCUUCGAUCUUAUAGGGCCUAGAGAAAGUGUAUCAACUUUAGGUCCCUUGACUUCAUCUUUGUAGAUCUAAAUCAAAGUCAAUGGCCAUGUCAUUAGAGUUCUUUGUCAAAAUGUACUGCAAUGUAAUCGUAUUUCAUUGUCCUAGCACACUGUUCCUAUACUGCAAUACGUGCCUUUAGAUUCGUUCUGUCCACAUAAUUUGACGUUAUCACAGGGGUUCUCAACCUGUGGGUCGCGACCCCCUUGGGGGUCGAUCUACGA